rnacentral:rRNA from 1 species
CGGCAUUAGGGGCAGCUAUACAUGCAGUCGAGCGGACAGAUGGGAGCUUGCUCCCUGAUGUCAGCGGCGGACGGGUGAGUAACACGUGGGUAACCUGCCUGUAAGACUGGGAUAACUCCGGGAAACCGGGGCUAAUACCGGAUGCUUGAUUGAACCGCAUGGUUCAAUUAUAAAAGGUGGCUUUUAGCUACCACUUACAGAUGGACCCGCGGCGCAUUAGCUAGUUGGUGAGGUAACGGCUCACCAAGGCAACGAUGCGUAGCCGACCUGAGAGGGUGAUCGGCCACACUGGGACUGAGACACGGCCCAGACUCCUACGGGAGGCAGCAGUAGGGAAUCUUCCGCAAUGGACGAAAGUCUGACGGAGCAACGCCGCGUGAGUGAUGAAGGUUUUCGGAUCGUAAAACUCUGUUGUUAGGGAAGAACAAGUACCGUUCGAAUAGGGCGGUACCUUGACGGUACCUAACCAGAAAGCCACGGCUAACUACGUGCCAGCAGCCGCGGUAAUACGUAGGUGGCAAGCGUUGUCCGGAAUUAUUGGGCGUAAAGCGCGCGCAGGCGGUUUCUUAAGUCUGAUGUGAAAGCCCCCGGCUCAACCGGGGAGGGUCAUUGGAAACUGGGGAACUUGAGUGCAGAAGAGGAGAGUGGAAUUCCACGUGUAGCGGUGAAAUGCGUAGAGAUGUGGAGGAACACCACUGGCGAAGGCGACUCUCUGGUCUGUAACUGACGCUGAGGCGCAAAGCGUGGGGAGCGACCAGGAUUAAUUGCCCUGCUUCUCCACGCCGUAAACUAUGAGUGCUAAUGUGAGAUGGAUUCCUCCCUUUGUGAUGCAGUACCACAUUUACAAUCCCCCUGGGGAGGAAGUCGGGGCAU